UAUUGGGUGAUCAGUGAUGUAACAUUUUUUAGAGUUGCAAAACGUGUAACUUGACAUGUUUAUUUUAUUAAUUAAUCUAUGUGUUGCAUAGAUAUGUUCCAUAAAACGUCGCUAUAUGCUUCCCUCCAAAUUUUUUAUUGCCGCACAAAAUUUCGCUCUAUUCUUCAUUUCCCACCUUUUUUUUCCCGCCAAAGCUUUUUUCUCUAAUUUUUUUUUUCUUUCUUUCUUUUCAUUCGGCUCCCACUUCUCAAGCUCUUAAAAGUUAAAAACCCAUUUUUCAUUUCCCAUCCAACUCCUUUUAUUUAUUUAUUUAUAUCUAACCCAUUUUCAUUUUCACCAUGCGGAGCUCUCUCUCACAUCUCCACCGCCCCUAGCCACCUCCCUAGCCCUAGCCACCACCACCUCCCUAGCCCUAACCGCCGCCACCGCCAUCGCCCUAGCUGUAGCCGCCGCCGCCAUAGAUAUACUCUCUCUCACCUCAACCACCACCCGCUGCCAUUAAUGGAAUAAUGAUUAUUUUCAAUCUUCAUAGUAUUUUUCUUAUCAUUGUUAUUGUUUUUUUUUUUUUUUUUCAGGAUAGAAGCUUUACUUUCAUUUUGAAGACACCCCCUGCUUCAGUUCUGCUUUUAAAAGACGCAGGUAUGCUUCUUUAACAAUGCCCAUUAUGUGUUUGAUUGUUUUACCCUUCGUUUGUUUGGCAUUUACUGAAUGUAAUUAAGCAUCUAAUUCUUGGAUUUUAACAGUGUGUUUCAGAGCUAUUACCAAUUUGAUGUAGUAACUUAUUGAGUGGUUAUUACUUGAAUCAAGCUUCGUUUUCAUACAUCCAACAUGUAAUGUUACAGCUUACAAGUAGAAUCUAGAAAACUAGAAUUUUUUCAUCACUGAUGUUUUCAUAUGGGAAAAUUUACUUAUUUGAAAAAGUGGAACAUCUUGGAUUUGAUUUCGGCAUUGACUCUUAUUGUGCUAGAUGAAAAGUGAACUCAUUAUUAUCUUGCUAAGGGCUCAUUAGAAUACUCAGAAUGGAGAAAUUGUGCGGAAAGUUUACUACGCUUUUUGAAAGGCCUCUUAAAUGAAAUACUCAUCUACAAACAUAACAAGCGAGCACCUGUCAGUGGCUCCAGACCAUAAAUUUUGAGAUGCUUAAAUCCUAAUGAACAACAAAUAUGAUAAUGAACUUUAAAGGGGAGAGUUUGGAAUAAUUUGAUUGUGUUCUAUACAAUUAAUUUGUGAUGGAAAAAGUGCUCGAUCCUGUAAGUUCUUCUUCAUUAGAUCAUCUCUCAAACCCACACUCACUGUAAGUUCUUCUUCUUUUCUUUCUAAAGGUUUUUUUAAUUUUUUUUUUAAUUUUUUUUGUUGAUUAAUGAAUGCCAUUGUUGUUUGAUAUAGUAUGUUGUGAAUUUUGUAAGUUAUUUUUUAUUAUGCUCAGUUUCCUUUUCUUAUUAAACCCAUGGACAAGCCUAUGUUACCAUUGAUCGGCACUCUACUGUUCUACUAAUUUUAUAUAUUAGUAUAAUAAUAGUAUAGCAUCGGAGUGGGGCUCAUCAAAGAACUAAGAACCCACGAGGUUGCCAUUGCCGAACUCAAUAAUCUUUAUUCAUCUAGAUUAAAGCUCAAGGAAACAUGAUAUGUGGUCCAUAUCUGCAUGAGGUUAACCACUCAUUUAUUGUGAUAAGGAAUUUGGAUGGUGUGUUAUGGACUGCAAUAUUUGGUAUUACGGUAAACCAUAUUGAAAUUAAAUUCCACUAAAAGUUCCAAAACAUAUGAGGGUCCAAUUAAUGAAUGCUUUAAGAAUGCAUUUGUAGAAUAUGUGAAACACCACUAUUCUGAUUGGAUGUUUCACAUUAAAAAUCCUAUUUUUAAGAAGUACACAAAAAGAAGAUCGUUACAAGAAUGAUCCUUCCUUCAUUCCUACACCCUUUUGAAAAAAGAUGGUGGAUAAAUGGAUGGAUGGAGAAUGAGGGGUGAGUAUAAAUGAAAUACAUGUUAUAAAUUCUCUCUAUCUCUCUUGCACUCUCUCUAACCAUUAUUUGUGGUUUACUUUUUUCACAAUUGUUAUAUUAUUUUAAUUUUAUUUAAUUUUGAUAGUGGUUUAAGUAAUCAAAUUAAGUUAUUAUUAUUGUUAAAUUAAAAAAAAAGUUAUUACUGUUGUUUAUGAUAUAUGAUAUGAUUAUAUUUGAUAUAGUAA